AUGCGCAGGCGCCAAGCGCUGGCAGAGGAGACACACACUAUUCCCAAGUCCUCCCAGUCAGGGUUCAACAUUGAACACAGGACACUUACCGUGGACUUAAGGCUCAUAUUGGUUUCCUUUGUUCUUAUUUUACAAGAUGUCCAGUGUGAGGUGCAGUUGCUGGAGUCUGGGGGAGGCAUAAUGCUGCCUGCAAAGUCCCUGAAACUCUCCUGUGCAGCCUCUGGAUUUACCUUGAGUGGCUACUGGGUCCGCCAGGCUCCAGGGAAAAGGCUAGAGUGGGUCGCAUAUAUUAAUCAAUAUGGUAGCACCUACUAUACCGACGCUGUGAAGGGCCGGUUCACAAUCUCCAGAGACAAUGCCAAGAACACUCUGUACCUGGAAAUGAGCAGUCUGAAGUCUGAGGACACAGCCAUGUAUUACUGUGCAAGAGACACAAUGAGUGAAUGCUACUGUGAGCUCAGACAAAAACACCGCUGUGGGGAACACGGGACCAGCAGGGGGCACUGA